rnacentral:rRNA from 1 species
GGUCUCCGUAGGUGAACCUGCGAAGGGAUCAUUACACAAAUAUGAAGGCGGGCUGGAACCUCUCGGGGUUACAGCCUUGCUGAAUUAUUCACCCUUGUCUUUUGCGUACUUCUUGUUUCCUUGGUGGGUUCGCCCACCACUAGGACAAACAUAAACCUUUUGUAAUUGCAAUCAGCGUCAGUAACAAAUUAAUAAUUACAACUUUCAACAACGGAUCUCUUGGUUCUGGCAUCGAUGAAGAACGCAGCGAAAUGCGAUAAGUAGUGUGAAUUGCAGAAUUCAGUGAAUCAUCGAAUCUUUGAACGCACAUUGCGCCCUUUGGUAUUCCAAAGGGCAUGCCUGUUCGAGCGUCAUUUGUACCCUCAAGCUUUGCUUGGUGUUGGGCGUCUUGUCUCUAGCUUUGCUGGAGACUCGCCUUAAAGUAAUUGGCAGCCGGCCUACUGGUUUCGGAGCGCAGCACAAGUCGCACUCUCUAUCAGCAAAGGUCUAGCAUCCAUUAAGCCUUUUUUUUCAACUUUUGACCUCGGAUCAGGUAGGGAUACCCGCUGAACUUAAGCAUAUC